UUCAGGAUGGCCGAAUGGUUAUGGCAUCGGACUUCUGAUCCGAUUGAGAGACUGUUGUGUCUGUAGGUUCGAUUCCUACUCCUGAAC
rnacentral:tRNA from 1 species